rnacentral:rRNA from 1 species
UACAGAGGGAGCAAGCGUUGUUCGGAAUUACUGGGCGUAAAGGGCGCGUAGGCGGUUCGAUAAGUCCCGUGUGAAAUCCCUCGGCUCAACUGAGGAAUUGCACGGGAAACUGACGGGCUUGAGUUCGGGAGAGGGAAGCGGAAUUCCGGGUGUAGCGGUGAAAUGCGUAGAUAUCCGGAGGAACACCGGUGGCGAAGGCGGCUUCCUGGACCGACACUGACGCUGAGGCGCGAAAGCGUGGGGAGCAAACAGG